CCUAAAAAAAAUAUCGGAGAGCUACUCUUAAACACAAGCCACCUUCAAGUUCUUGCAAAUGCUUACCCAGAAAAGUAGAAGGUUCUCUGAAAGGGACUAUUUCUGAAGUCAGGCAGUGUUUUGAACAAUACCUAAAUAUUUUUGGAUGGAAGAGACUUGAAAGAAUGGCAGUGACAUCCCGCCCUAGCAGAGGCCGAAGUAUGAAAUACUUUGACAUGGAUAUUGCUAAAAAUCAAAGUUGUAUCUCUUCUUAUUAUGUUAUAGUCAGUGGAAAUUAUAGGCACUGUGCUUGGCUCUCUGAAAUGAGAUUAGAGAAAACCCACAUAAUCUCUUUAAGAUAAAAGCACUGACACUUUCAGCAAGAGAAAGAAAUUAAAGCGGAGACUUUGCACGUUACAGGCUAAUCGCAAGAGUAAAGUUGUGGAGUAUCAGCAAAGCCCGUGGAAAGAAAUGGGAUAGUCUUGGGGGGAGGUUUCAGAUACAGCGUGGCUCAGGCAGUCCCGGUGCCUGGUGGUGGGCUCUGGCUUGGAUGCUUUCUCUGGGCAAGUUUGGGUUUGGUGAUCCCGUGAAACGCUGGUUAUGCUCUUUUAUCUCCCAACGUCAUUAAUAUGUGUGUCUCAUCGGGCAUUCCAGUUUCGCUUCCCAAUAAGAUGAAAAUGUGGUCUAUGUGCUGAUAUUGCCCGACAGGCAGAGGGGUCUGUGAUACCCGGGAGGCACUAUUGCCUUGACCUCAUCCUGUGGUACAUUUCUGCAGAAACUUAUUAUCUGAUUUAAAAAAAAAAAAAAAAAAGCAGGCAGGGAAAAUUCUAUUUCUAACUGCCCAAGAGCACCAGUUACCCCGUCCACCCCGCUUCAUUUUUCUCGAAAGAAAACACCUUCCGUCCUCUGAAGUGAUCCUUACUCAGGGAAAGCAUACUAGUCUGUGCCAGGGGGGGACCGACGCCAGCAAAUGCAACAGGCACAGAAGUUCUAAGGACACCUAAGAACACUCUCGUUUGUAAGAUGCGAAUUUGGGUGUGGGGUGGGGACCGCAGCCACUAAGGCGUGCACAUCGCAAAAGGGAUGACUGGCAAGCAGUGGGUUAGUUCAGCACAAUUUAGGCAGUUAUUUUAAGGCCACGUCCCCUGAAAUGUGGUUUGAAAUAUUACCAGAGGUUCCACGGGGUGCAUUAGUGUGAAUUGCAAAUCAGAGCAUGCCUCUAAUCCCCCUUUCAAGGGCCGGCUUUGGAUCACUGGCGUCUACGGGGCUCCCCACUGCUUCUGGCGUAGGAGGGACCAUUCAAGGGGGCAGCUUCUCUCUGCUAUUCCCACACUCCAAAAAAACAACACCGCAGACAGACACCCUCCAACUAAAUUAGAUUAAACUCCUUGUUCUCCACAGCACAUUAGUCUUUUCACUGCCCAGCGGUGAUUAUUCGGAACCUCCUAAUUUAAAGGUACAGUAUUUCUUUUUCAACAGGAGGGCGGCAGCAGCAGGCAUCCUGAAAAAAGACACAAAGCCAGCCUUCAUGGAUCCUUGGCAGUCACCAAUGGUGAGGAAAAGGCAGAGGAAACACCACGUGGGAGGUACUAGCGUGUGUUGGUUUAUUCCUGUCCUCGGCUGUGUGGCUUCAGGGGAGUCACUCAACCUCCCUGAACUUUGCUGUAAAAUGAGCCUGGUACCAGUACCCCCUUUAUAAGUCUGGGGUAGGCUGAGGUGACACCACUCGCGAAGCACCGAGACACGUGUCUGGCACUUGAGUGUCAGCCGAGCGGGGCUCAUGGUCUCUCGGCGCUGCGGUUAAUCUGCUGUCUUCGUCCAAAUCCUCAACAUGUCUUGGCUCGCUAGAAGGUUCAGGGCUUCCUGACAGCCUCACCUGCGAGUCUCCUUUCCGGCAGCCCCCACACUGGUGGCUGCCCCAUCCUGCCCGGGGGUAAGCAGUGGGCAAGCCAGAGGGGCCCACCCGGAGCAGCGCCGCAGCCUGCCCCUGCGUCCAGGCGGCCGCCGUCGCAGAGCUCAGGCAGGUGCUCCUGGGGCCUCCCGGGGCCUUUCUCCUUCCCCUCGGGCGACGAUCGGAGACACAGACCCGUGGCCUUGCUGACGGAGUCGAGUUUGGGUGCCUGUUUCACAGUGAGGAAUCAAAGUCAUAUUCAAGUUGUUGUCUGCACCCCUCACUGUAAAUGGCAGUUCCCGUGAGAAAGCACAUUUUUCUCCACGUCCAGGAGAGGGGAGGACACAGAAUUCUGCUGUCCCCGCCCGCAUUUUGCUGUCUGUCCUACAGGAAGAUUUGAGGAGGCUUCGAAUCGCGCUUCUGUAGCUGAGACCAGUGAGUCUGGGGAGGGACGCUCAGCCUCCUCCCACAACGGCCAGUCUUUGUCUCUCUCCUCUCCUUUUCCUUCCCUCCCCCAUCGAUACCUGUUAUAUAUAAGAUCUAACCAUAUAAAUGCUCCAGCUGUGAAGCUGGAUUUCCAAGCUGGAUCCUCUGUGGGUUCCUAGGAUCGAGAACUGUGCCUGCCCAAUUCCUGUUUCCUCAAUAAUUCAACAAAUGACUUUUUCCCUCACUGCUGUCCUACAUGAAACGUCGUGCUCCCUCUAUGGCUGGGAGAUUGGGAGACACACAGGCUGUGCCAGCAACCUGCUGACACACGGAGAAGGGACCCAUGUGGCUGGACUGGUUCCAAGGUCCCAGCCAGAAGAGGAGUCUUAUCUGUUUGCCCCUCCCCUAUCUAUUAAUAUUAGAUAAUAUUUAUUUUCCCCUACGACCUUGAAAGACUCGGUAGUGAUUAUGAGUCAGAAAUGUGGGCAGCCCAGGUGGCUCAGGGGUUUAGCACCGCCUUCAGCCCAGGGCCUGAUCCUGGAGACCCGGGGUCGAGUCCCACAUCAGGCUCCCUGCAUGGAGCCUGCUUCUGCCUCUGCCUGUGUCUCUGCUUCUCUCUCUCUCUCUCUCUCUUUCUCUCUCUCCCCCCGUGUCUCUCAUUAAUAAAUAAAAUCUUAAAAAAAAAAAAGUCAGAAAUGCUUUCAGGCUGUUGCGGUGUCUCCCCUGCUCCGUCAGGUGUGGGCAGUGGGAGGAAUGGAGGCUUGAGGACAUGGGAAAAGUAGAACCGGCGUUCGGAUCACAACACUGAGUCCCACUCAUGGGACACCGGCCAGGCACGGUCCUCAACCUUCUAGGAAGCUCCGCUCAAGUUUUUCAUCCUUCUACAGCUCCAUGCAGCCUGAGUACAGUAGGCCCUGCUCCCCACUGCUCCCCCCUCCCUGCUCCUGUCCUCCAGAGCCUGACAGAAGCAGCAGGGAUGCCAGAGCCUGCAGGUAGGACAGUAAGGGAAGGGGAGGGCAGGUGGUGUAGGCUCUGCAGGGACAGAGCUGCAGGGCUCAGCUUGUAUGUGAUCACCCAGCCACGUGGAGUGAACUCAGGAGCUGCUGGGGCAGGGGUGAAACAGACAGAGGGGUGAGCGGGGACUCCAGCCCCACGCCCUACAUGCGACAUGAUAAGAAGAGGCGGCAGUUGCUGUGACUUUGCUGUUGACUGCAUCUCUCUGGUUGGUGCACGCCAGGUGACGGACAGCCACAGUUGGGAGGUCACCAUCUUCAGCAAUGCGGUCGGCCUCGUCCACAGUGGGGUGGGAGAGUGAAAGAUUGGAAGACCUAAGUUUCCAGAGGAGGACAUCUGGCUGCCACCCGAGAUUCCCAGCCUGCCCAAUGGGUUUCAGACUUGCCCAGCCAGCCUGUUCCUUGAGCUGCAUCUCUGUGUACUCACGCAUAUGCUACUGUAGGUUCAAGUCCUCCUAGGUCCAUGACUGAGGCCCUGUGCCCAGAAGGAUGGCAUUCCAGGCUUGGAUGCACCACGCGUGAGCAAGGUCGGUGCUGCUUGAGCUAGAAAUGCUGAAAAAUGCUUUCUUCACACGUAUUUCUUUGCUUGAAUUGUGCAGUAGAUUUGAAACAGGGAGCUGCUGUCACAGGACAGUGGCAGGUUUGAAUGUUUGCAGCAGAGAGCGCCAUAUGGUCUGAAAUGUGUAACGUAUUUGUGAUCGAGACCUUUGCAGAAAGCUUGCCACCUCUUGGAGCAUCACAGCGGUAGAUAAUUUCACCCGCCUGUGCCUUUGGGGCUGAUUUCCAAUCUUAUGUCACUUAUUGCCCUCUGGAUGCCACCUCGCGUCUGUCCGACCUACUCUGUCCAGGCUGAUUGGCAGGAGCCAGGAACUGGUGAAGAAGGCCAGAUUUCAGGUUGUACUACAAAGCUGUGGUCAUCAAGACAGUGUGGUACUGGCACAAAAACAGACACAUAGAUCAAUGGAACAGAAUAGAGAACCCAGAAGUGGACCCUGAACUUUAUGGUCAACUAGUAUUCGAUAAAGGAGG